ACCUGUUAAUGUGCACGAAACAUAUAAUUGCUAAAAAAAAACAGCUUUUACGAUUCUACAUUGACGUCAAAAAUAGGUAUAGGACAUGUAUUAUUACGUAUUAUAUUGUACACACAUGGGUUAGUUAAGUUGACUGUCGGCAUAGCAACCAUAAAGUAAUUAAGUAAGUACUCUUAAUGUGUCCGAAUUCAUGUGAUGUUUGGAGAUGACUUGCGCGAAACGAGGCGACAAAAGCAACAAAUUAAUGAAGCAAAAACAAAGUACGUUCACAUAAGAGACUUGUGUGUGGUGAAUUAAUCGCGACGAUGACAUCAUAAUAACAUUGUUAAAGCCGCAGUACUCGGAAGAUGCCUCUUUACCUUCUUCGUGCCGUUGGUUUCUUCGGGCAUGUUAACAGGAAUCCGGAUGUACGACCCCUUUGGGAGUUCAACCCCUUCUUCGGCGCGGUGGAUACAGAGGAACUCGCGCACAAUGUUAACAAGGCUUUCUAGAUUGACCUUUGAAUAAUUAAAGUCGGCACCGUCGCCCGAUUUGAAUGGAACAUGAACAAACGUGCUGUGCGCUUCGAACGAGGGUCGAGCUAAAACUGGCAGUCGACUUCAUACCAGCGAGAGUCCACCUAUAUGGGCAGGACAAUCUUUAGAUUCCAAUUGUUUAUGUUUCAGGUACUCGAGGGAAAACACGUUGAAUAAAGAAAAUGCGUAACGUAUAUAAUAAAAAAAUAAAACGGUAUCUGCUAUGCACGUUUUGUAGAGCAGUAACAACACAUCAGAUGUCGAGAUGAGCUCCGAACAACAUAACAUUAUCGUGGGAACGUUGCGAAUUCAUAUUUCACUCAGUCCGGUGGCAAAACCAUUAUGCAAGCAGACCUAUAUCGCAAUUAACUUAAUGGCGUAAUCAGCUGGAACAAUGGAUCUAAUUUGCAUUUAGAUUCAAUUAGAAGAUAUCGUAACGAACUUAUUGAAACAUUUCCCACCGGAGCGAAGAAAAACGAGCGCAACUCCAUUUAUUUACCGAUACCGAAAUCAAUAUUAAUAAAUUAUGCAAACUA